UUCCCUAUUUUUGAAACCCUAGCAGACCCUUCCCCCAUUUCCAAACCAGCAGAGCCACACUCCGUCCGUCCACUACCUCUCUCUUUCUCUUGCGGUACGUACCUCUUUCUCUCUCGCCUGAACAACCCAUCCGCGACAGCACUUACAGGCAAGACUUCGUUGAGUACAAGAGCAGCAAGAACAUCGACGGUUGUCUCCCUCGUCCAUGGAACAACCUUGUCUCGGUUUGCUCCUUCUUUCUUUCUUUUUUUUCUUUUUGGGUAUUUUUGUGAUUUUUAUUUGAAUUGAAUUAAGUUGAUUCAAGAAAAGAAUACAUCUUAGUACUAUUCAGACCCAUUCUCUAUGAAUUUAAGGAAUUAAUUUUGAAUUAGUCAAUGCUACAUGAACUUUUCAAAGCAAAUGAUUCACCACUUGACCUUUUCCAAAUAAACCAUUUUUGAUGUCUUAACUGCUACAUAAUUUUAGUAUUAGAAGUUGUUGUACCCCUAAUUAUUGGGGCUGGCUCUAUAGGUUGCUUCUUUGGUUCCCUUUGUUGUCUCUAUCCCUAAAGAGCAGUAACCAUUGCAUUGAGAUGUGAGUAAAAAUACCACCACCACCACCAUUAUUAUUAUUAUUAUUAAUUUGGGACAUGUGUUUGCUUUGCAGGGGGAAAAACUAGUACUUCUUUCAAGGAUUCAAAUCUGUUUGGAGUUUCUCUAGAUUGCUUUAGAACUAAUUUCAGCUCUUUAAGCUCAUAAGUGCAAGCAAUUAAAAAUUACACAGGGAUGAAAGGAAAGCUUACUUUAGAGAAUCAGGAGCAGUUAUUAGCCAUCUUAUGAGAUAGCAGUCCAAUGCAUAAUAUGUACCGUGGUAAUUUGAGCGAAGAGCAGCCAACAAAGUUAUAAUGAGGUGAUGGAGAUAGCAAGUGACACGAUCGAGAGAUAUCAGCCUGUGUAAUUAAUAAAUUGAUAAUAAAUGUUACAAAUAAAAUAACAAAGCACGGAAAAAUUUCAGUGCACAUAGUCGUCUUACUUGUAAGAUUUCAGUAUUUUUAAAAAAUUUGAGAUGUUAGAUUUGUUUAUGUGAAAUUGAAAAAAAUUG